GCGGAAGUGGUGGAAUUGGUAGACACGCUGGAUUUAGGUUCCAGUGCCGAAAGGUGUGAGAGUUCGAGUCUCUCCUUCCGCACCA
rnacentral:tRNA from 1 species